UACGUAGGGUGCAAGCGUUACUCGGAAUUACUGGGCGUAAAGCGUGCGCAGGCGGUUGUUUAAGUCAGGUGUGAAAUCCCCGGGCUCAACCUGGGAACUGCAUUCGAGACUGCCUUGCUAGAGUAUGGGAGAGGGAAGUGGAAUUUCCGGUGUAGCGGUGAAAUGCGUAGAUAUCGGAAGGAACAUCAGUGGCGAAGGCGACUUCCUGGACCAAUACUGACACUCAGGUGCGAAAGCGUGGGGAGCAAACAGG
rnacentral:rRNA from 1 species